UUAAGCAUUGGUUAUUAAGUCAUAAACCCUUUGGCAAUCUUUCCUUUAGGCCUACUCAUUGCAACAGAUUUCGAUAGCGUGCAAAGGUGUAGCCUAUCCCAAGCGGGAGAACUUACAGCCCCGAAGUACUUUUAAUCAAGAGACUCGUCUUUGACAGUUUGAUACAUCUCACUCAACCAACCUGUCAACAGUAUAACGGUGGUGCAUAUAAGGACAAUGGGAAGACGUGUGUGUCUUAUUAACUUAUAGGACACAAAUGUAGCCUACUUAUCAAGUGUGUCAUGGAGGAUAAAACAUUCGAUUGAGAUAAGAGACUAUAUUGUCUUGUCUGCUUGUGUAAGCUAUCCAAAGUGUUUGACUUCGGAUCCCUGUUGUGUUAAUCAAUAUCCCAAUUGGAACUUACUCAAAGGUAAGUUAUAUGUAUUAAAACCUAGAAUAGAGUCUUCUAGACCUCACCAUCUACAACACACCAUUCUGAGCGGGGUCUGUUUUGAAACAAGUCGUGAUAAAAACUGGCAAAUGCCAUCGCGUGCGUGUACCUGUUAGCAGUCAAGUUAAAGAUUGGCCAAGUUGCGUGAGAGCGUUUUGGCCAAGCCCUCGCCUCCCCCAGCCCUUGGUUAAGGAUGCUGGGGUGUGGGGGUGGGGGAGUAUUCUGUCAGCACUGCAGGGGUGAAAGGGUGAAUGAGUUCAUUACCCUUACAGUCUCUCUUCUUUUAGGAAAUGUACAUCCUAUUCCAGAUAGCCCACUGACAGUGAAUAUAUAUCGACUCUGCACAGCAAUACGAGGGAUUUCCAACAUAGUUGGACCAUGGACUGAAACAGCGCCCACAGCAAAUUGAAAUUCCCUUGAAGAAUCUCCCUUUCUGAGUAAUGACUGUAAAGGCAGCUGAAGUCUUCAGUCCUUUGGCACGCAACAACCAAACACCUGUCACACACCUUCAAACCAGGGCCCUGGUGUUCCCCAUCCACCCACCCCACCUCAGCUCUCUGACUCAGGGGCUACAAGGC